GAUGAACGCUAGCGGCAGGCCUAACACAUGCAAGUCGAGGGGCAGCGAGGGUAGCAAUACCUGUCGGCGACCGGCGCACGGGUGAGUAACGCGUAUGCAACCUACCCUUCACAGGGGGAUAGCCCGCCGAAAGGCGGAUUAAUACCCCAUGGCCCCAUGGUCCGGCAUCGGAUUAUGGGUAAAGGAGCAAUCCGGUGGAGGAUGGGCAUGCGUGCCAUUAGCUAGUUGGCGGGGUAACGGCCCACCAAGGCGACGAUGGCUCGGGGGUCUGAGAGGAUGGUCCCCCACACUGGUACUGAGACACGGACCAGACUCCUACGGGAGGCAGCAGUGAGGAAUAUUGGUCAAUGGGCGGAAGCCUGAACCAGCCAUGCCGCGUGCAGGAAGACGGCCCUACGGGUUGUAAACUGCUUUUCCGGGGGAAGAAUAAGGGCGACGUGUCGCCCGAUGCCGGUACCCCGGGAAUAAGGAUCGGCUAACUCCGUG
rnacentral:rRNA from 1 species